UACGUAGGUGACCAGCGUUGUCCGGAUUUACUGGGCGUAAAGAGCGCGCAGGCGGUCGUUCAAGUCGAGUGUGAAAGCCCCCGGCUCAACUGGGGAGGGUCACUCGAUACUGAUCGACUUGAAGGCAGGAGAGGGAAGCGGAAUUCCCGGUGUAGUGGUGAAAUGCGCAGAUAUCAGGAGGAACACCGGUGGCGAAGGCGGUUCUCUGGGCAUUACCUGACGCUGAGGAGCGAAAGUGUGGGGAGCGAACAGG
rnacentral:rRNA from 1 species